rnacentral:rRNA from 1 species
UGAGGAAUAUUGGUCAAUGGGCGAGAGCCUGAACCAGCCAAGUAGCGUGCAGGAAGACGGCCCUAUGGGUUGUAAACUGCUUUUGUAUGGGGAUAAAGUCAAUCACGUGUGAUUGUUUGCAGGUACCAUACGAAUAAGGACCGGCUAAUUCCGUGCCAGCAGCCGCGGUAAUACGGAGGGUCCGGGCGUUAUCCGGAUUUAUUGGGUUUAAAGGGAGCGUAGGCUGGAGAUUAAGUGUGUUGUGAAAUGUAGGCGCUCAACGUCUGACUUGCAGCGCAUACUGGUUUCCUUGAGUACGCACAACGUUGGCGGAAUUCGUCGUGUAGCGGUGAAAUGCUUAGAUAUGACGAAGAACUCCGAUUGCGAAGGCAGCUGACGGGAGCGCAACUGACGCUGAAGCUCGAAGGUGCGGGUAUCGAACAGGAUUAGAUACCCUGGUAGUCCGCACAGUAAACGAUGGAUGCCCGCUGUUGGUACCUGGUAUCAGCGGCUAAGCGAAAGCAUUAAGCAUCCCACCUGGGGAGUACGCCGGCAACGGU